UUCUCAGCCUGAUUGCCUUUUGCUUACUAAGAACAGCAACUGAUUUCUAUUGGACAACUGUGUAAUUGUGUGGUGGUGUAGGGAACAACCAUUAUACUCCAAUUCCUUCAUCUGGUAAACGGGAACAUGAGUGUAUGGGAAUUGCUAAGUCACAGCCUGAACCAAUGAGUGAGCACUUUGUGAAGAGACACAGCCUGCCCUGGGAACACAGGUGAAAGCAAUUCACCUGUGCCACAGAAAGGGUGGAACCAGGUUCCACCCCUAAGCCUCAUUUAAGGACUGGUUGCCACCUGGGAACACUCUCUGUCUGGCGAUCCUUUCUUCUGGGUUAUUUGGUGGGUCCUGUUCCUCAGGAUAGGUGAGCAAAUCUUUCUUUGACUGGAUUGUGACUAUCACUCUUUUUUGAGUAAUUUAGAACUGGUUGUCUGCCAUUGCCUUUCCAUACAAUUACUUCUAUUUCUCAGAGGCUCAAUUUAGAGUUUAAUAAUCGGCUAACAAAUUCACAAAGCCACUUUAAUUUCAUCUUCAGCUCUUGUGUUACUCUCCUUCCUGAACUCAAUAGCGGCAUCACAAGAUAAAAUGGGAUGUGCCCUACCAGCCCCUAUGAUAUCAGAAACAGCAAAUACACUGUCCGAAGGCUGUAGACUGCCAACGCUAAAGAUACAAGCUGCAGUAACUUGCAUGAUGAGCCACAGUGUCUGUCAGGCAAAAGCAGCUUCCCUUUGAAGAUGGCGUCAGCUUCCUGUUCUAUGACAGAAAAACUCCCAAUAGGCUCCCGGAAGAGCAUUCGAAUCUAUUAACAUUAUACAUAUACGUUCAUAUAUAUUUUAAAACUUGUAUUUAAAGUAGAGGGAAGUUUAACACAAUUUCUUGACUUGAUUGAAAGAUAAAUGGAAUGUAAUUGAUAUAAAAGUUUUUGUUGGUGUGCUGCUGUUUGUUUUGAUUUAGGAAAGGAAUGAAUCGCACAAAAAGACUUGAGAAAGCUUUUGGUCAAUGUAUUCUAAUAUAAGUUCAAAAGCAUAGUGCAGUUCUCUGUUCUUUACCUCUUCUUGCCAUCUUGGUACUGCUGCGAAGGGCUGUUGAUAUCUUGAACUGAGUUGCAUGGACAAGAAAAGAACAAAAUGGAUGGGACUUCAAGAGAACGGGAAAUCUGGAGAAAUCUCUUUUGCAAUUUGACAUGAAGGAGCAUGCUUUUAUCUCUCUCCACAUAUAUGAAGUUCAGAAAGGGAUUUCUCUUUCUCAUAGAUGUCAGUGUGUUUUAAAUGCUUGAAAAACAAACAAACCCAACCCUAAAAAAAAAAUUGAAAAAAUCAUGAUUUAGGGAACAAUUCUCAUUUUUUGUUAUUGGCUUAGAAAGUAGUUGAGCAAGUAAGUUUAAAU
rnacentral:lncRNA from 1 species